UGUUUCUCUAAAUAAUGAAUGCAAAAAAUACGCUGAGGAAGCAAGGGAGCAGUACAAUGCAAGGAGGCGUGCAGCUUAUCGGAAGAAAAAUAAUGAGGAUAUUGUCAGCUUACAAGAUGAGAAUCAGCCGGUACUUGCAAAAUCUGAUCAUAGGGAUCUUAUCAACGCUCGUAGGCGGGUGGCUUAUCGCAAUAACAAGUCAGAUGGUUCGGCUAACCAACAAGUCAAUGGGAAGUCAUCCCGUCGCCAGUCUCUAUGUGAUAUCACAAAUGUUCUCGAAGAUAGGGAGAUAAAUAAACCCACACGAGAUUAUCAUGGUUGGUAAAUUGAUCCACGUCCCGUAUGCACUGUGUUUGCACGAAGGUAGUCACUUAUUACGCAAUUUAAAUAAGUACUGACCAAUCUUGUUGAAUCAUAUAAUUCAGCUAGCUCGGACUAUACAUCAGUCUCGCCUAAUGAUGUAACAUACCCUCAUGAAGCUACGGUCACAUCGGGUGUCCUUUGUGUGGGAGAUAAAGAAGAAUAUUUUUCCAAAGUAGACCAAAGAAACGCCCUGGAAAGGGCUUCCUGUCGGCGGAAAAAACAACCUAAUGUCCGAGAUGAAAAUGCGCAUGCCCUUCAUUCAUCAGGCAAGCUUAAAUUGUUUUAUUGUUUUAACCAUGAUAGUCGGUACCAUCAAAACCAUUAAGCUGACAUAUGUUUGGACAACUUUGGUUCAACAGACAACCCAACUAGCUCUAACUAUACAGCAUUCUCGCAUGAUGCGUCAACAUUUCCUGCUACAAGUACGGUCACAUCUGGUCUCAUUAAUGAAAAUGAAAUACAAGAUGCAAAUGUAAUCAUGUAUGACACCCCAGAAACAGAGCAUAAAACGGAAGAUGAACGCAAGAGAGGCCAUAGAAACACAGUAAGAAGGGCUUCAUAUCGGCGGAAAAAACAACCUAAUGUCCGAGAUGAAAAUGCAUGGACCCUUCUUUUAUCAGACAACCCAACCAGCUGUAAAACAUUUCCUGGUUCAAAUACGGUCUCAUCUGGACUCAUCUAUGACAACGAGCUUCAAGAAACAGAGCAAAAAACGGAAGAAGAACACAAGAGAGACCAUAGAAACGCCCUGAGGAGGGCUUCCUAUCGGCGGAAGAAACAAUAUAAUGUUCAAGUUGAACAUGCACAGACCCUUCAUUUAUCAGGUAAGCUUAUAAUGAUUUAACCAUUAUGGUCAGAACCGUCUUAAUAAUUAAGCAUUAAUAUGUGUGGACAACUUUGGUUCACCAGGCAACCCCACUAGCUCUAACUAUACAUCAUUCUCGCGUGAUGCGCGGACAUUUCCUGAUACAACUACGGUCUCAUGUGGGAUCGUUAAUGACAACGAGCUACAAGAUGUGAUUUUGAAUGACACACAAGAAACAGAGGAAAAAACAGAAGAAGAACGCAAGAGAGACCAUAGAAACGCCCUGCGGCGAGCUGCUUAUUGGAGGAACAAGGAUAAGCAUAUCAAAGAUCAAAACAAACGUCCAUCUGGUACUUCAGACGACCUGAAUAGCCCUAGCGUUACAGAAUUAAUGAAAGAGGGAGCAACAUGUCCCCCUUCAACUUUACACGCGUCUGUCAUUCAGGACACUAUUCUAGCUAGGAGGCAAAGUGACAAUGAGCGGAAACAUAAUUUAACAAACGAGCAAAGGGAGGCGAAAAACGCAAGUAGCAGAGCAUGCCAUCAGAAGAAAAGUGACGAAUUAACGGUGGAGGUCAGAGAAACAAAGAAUGAAAAAAUACGCGUGAAUCACGUGCAGCGCCGCAAAAGCAUGUCGGUGAUUGAGAAGGGGGAGUCAAGUGCACAGAGGAAGGCCAAUUAUGAAAGAAGGAAAAAAACACCGUGCAAAGAAUGCAUCGCAAUCCCCUUUACAGACCUAGCAAACUCAACCUCUGAAUGUCCCACUUCCCCAAGCCGCGCAUCACCCGUCUCUCGGGCCG